AUGAACGCUAGCUACAGGCUUAACACAUGCAAGUCGAGGGGCAGCAUGAACUUAGCUUGCUAAGUUUGAUGGCGACCGGCGCACGGGUGAGUAACACGUAUCCAACCUGCCGAUGACUCGGGGAUAGCCUUUCGAAAGAAAGAUUAAUACCCGAUGGCAUAGUUCUUCCGCAUGGUGGAACUAUUAAAGAAUUUCGGUCAUCGAUGGGGAUGCGUUCCAUUAGGUUGUUGGCGGGGUAACGGCCCACCAAGCCUUCGAUGGAUAGGGGUUCUGAGAGGAAGGUCCCCCACAUUGGAACUGAGACACGGUCCAAACUCCUACGGGAGGCAGCAGUGAGGAAUAUUGGUCAAUGGACGAGAGUCUGAACCAGCCAAGUAGCGUGAAGGAUGACUGCCCUAUGGGUUGUAAACUUCUUUUAUACGGGAAUAAAGUGAGGCACGUGUGCCUUUUUGUAUGUACCGUAUGAAUAAGGAUCGGCUAACUCCGUGCCAGCAGCCGCGGUAAUACGGAGGAUCCGAGCGUUAUCCGGAUUUAUUGGGUUUAAAGGGAGCGUAGGCGGACGCUUAAGUCAGUUGUGAAAGUUUGCGGCUCAACCGUAAAAUUGCAGUUGAUACUGGGUGUCUUGAGUACAGUAGAGGCAGGCGGAAUUCGUGGUGUAGCGGUGAAAUGCUUAGAUAUCACGAAGAACUCCGAUUGCGAAGGCAGCUUGCUGGACUGUAACUGACGCUGAUGCUCGAAAGUGUGGGUAUCAAACAGGAUUAGAUACCCUGGUAGUCCACACAGUAAACGAUGAAUACUCGCUGUUUGCGAUAUACAGUAAGCGGCCAAGCGAAAGCGUUAAGUAUUCCACCUGGGGAGUACGCCGGCAACGGUGAAACUCAAAGGAAUUGACGGGGGCCCGCACAAGCAGUGGAGUAUGUGGUUUAAUUCGAAGCAACGCGAAGAACCUUACCAGGUCUUGACAUCCCGAUGCUAUUUCUAGAGAUAGAAAGUUACUUCGGUACAUCGGUGACAGGUGGUGCAUGGUUGUCGUCAGCUCGUGCCGUGAGGUGUCGGCUUAAGUGCCAUAACGAGCGCAACCCUUAUCGAUAGUUACCAUCAGGUGAUGCUGGGGACUCUGUCGAGACUGCCGUCGUAAGAUGUGAGGAAGGUGGGGAUGACGUCAAAUCAGCACGGCCCUUACGUCCGGGGCUACACACGUGUUACAAUGGGGGGUACAGAAGGCAGCUACACGGCGACGUGAUGCUAAUCCCGAAAGCCUCUCUCAGUUCGGAUUGGAGUCUGCAACCCGACUCCAUGAAGCUGGAUUCGCUAGUAAUCGCGCAUCAGCCACGGCGCGGUGAAUACGUUCCCGGGCCUUGUACACACCGCCCGUCAAGCCAUGAAAGCCGGGGGUACCUGAAGUGCGUAACCGCAAGGAGCGCCCUAGGGUAAAACUGGUGAUUGGGGCU
rnacentral:rRNA from 1 species